GGAUGAAAGACGGUUUCGGCUGUCACUUACAGAUGGACCCGCGGCGCAUUAGCUAGUUGGUGGGGUAAUGGCUCACCAAGGCGACGAUGCGUAGCCGACCUGAGAGGGUGAUCGGCCACACUGGGACUGAGACACGGCCCAGACUCCUACGGGAGGCAGCAGUAGGGAAUCUUCCGCAAUGGACGAAAGUCUGACGGAGCAACGCCGCGUGAGUGAUGAAGGUUUUCGGAUCGUAAAGCUCUGUUGUUAGGGAAGAACAAGUGCGAGAGUAACUGCUCGCACCUUGACGGUACCUAACCAGAAAGCCACGGCUAACUACGUGCCAGCAGCCGCGGUAAUACGUAGGUGGCAAGCGUUGUCCGGAAUUAUUGGGCGUAAAGGGCUCGCAGGCGGUUUCUUAAGUCUGAUGUGAAAGCCCCCGGCUCAACCGGGGAGGGUCAUUGGAAACUGGGAAACUUGAGUGCAGAAGAGGAGAGUGGAAUUCCACGUGUAGCGGUGAAAUGCGUAGAGAUGUGGAGGAACACCAGUGGCGAAGGCGACUCUCUGGUCUGUAACUGACGCUGAGGAGCGAAAGCGUGGGGAGCGAACAGGAUUAGAUACCCUGGUAGUCCACGCCGUAAACGAUGAGUGCUAAGUGUUAGGGGGUUUCCGCCCCUUAGUGCUGCAGCUAACGCAUUAAGCACUCCGCCUGGGGAGUACGGUCGCAAGACUGAAACUCAAAGGAAUUGACGGGGGCCCGCACAAGCGGUGGAGCAUGUGGUUUAAUUCGAAGCAACGCGAAGAACCUUACCAGGUCUUGACAUCCUCUGACAACCCUAGAGAUAGGGCUUUCCCUUCGGGGACAGAGUGACAGGUGGUGCAUGGUUGUCGUCAGCUCGUGUCGUGAGAUGUUGGGUUAAGUCCCGCAACGAGCGCAACCCUUGAUCUUAGUUGCCAGCAUUCAGUUGGGCACUCUAAGGUGACUGCCGGUGACAAACCGGAGGAAGGUGGGGAUGACGUCAAAUCAUCAUGCCCCUUAUGACCUGGGCUACACACGUGCUACAAUGGACAGAACAAAGGGCUGCAAGACCGCAAGGUUUAGCCAAUCCCAUAAAUCUGUUCUCAGUUCGGAUCGCAGUCUGCAACUCGACUGCGUGAAGCUGGAA
rnacentral:rRNA from 1 species